rnacentral:sRNA from 1 species
CAUGAUAUCAGUUAUGCGCGUAUACUGAUGGAGUUGGAAGGCGGCGACUGUGGAAAAGGUGAAAUAAAACAUUGGUUCAAGACACAUUUAGGGAACUAGGUUCGAAGAAGGCAUUGAUUGGAGGACUCCCUCUCUUGAAAUGAGACGGCGUGAAAAAUGUGCGAAAUAACGAAUACGACCAACAGUCGCUAAAAUUCUCAUAAGUGGUUCGAAGAUUUGGUUAUAACAACAUACUAGCUGGUUGCAAAUCGUGAUUUGGUAACUAGUAAUCUCCCCCGUCUUUGAUCUUACGAAUAGCCCGGCACAUCCUUCAAAUCUCUCGUCGGUAUAUAGCUGGCGCAGUUCCCACCCUCAUCACUCCGAUCCCACGCCCAUCGCCGUACAAACUCCUCUCCCAGCUCGUUGUCGAUCAUCUGGACAACAUACUUCCCAACAUUGGGCAAGAACUUCCACGCAUGGAAGGAUCCGCCGCCUACAAUAUACAGGUUCUGAACAUGGGGAUGUGGUGAAAUUAUCCAGUCCUGAUUUGGCGUGAUGGAAUCCCUGUGGUAUAUUUUGUUAGAUUCAAGUGGACGAUAAUGCGUUUGGCAAUUUUGAUUCGAGCCUCACCAGCACAUCCGAUACUGCUUCGGCUCCAUAUUAUUUAUCCAGUUACCGAAGAGUUUAUCUCGCGCUGCAUUGGCCUCGUCCUUCAGCCCCUGGGGUACGUCUUGGGAAAAGGUCUGUUGAGUGACACGUGGGGGAGGCACAGAAAUGUCCUGCUUGGAGGCUUCGUGGAACACUUUGUGGGUAAAGCUCCGUUCGUGUGUGCAUUUUAUGAGGCCUGGUCCGCUCUGUGGAAUGCAUUCGGCUGGUACGUUGAGAUAUUAGCGAGUCAUUUUCCAAUAGGGAAUCCAGGAGCGAGCUACCUGGGUAUUCACCCAUUGGGUGCACAACAAUGGGACAAUCGCUAAAUUUCUCUACUUGAUCCUCGGGGAGGCUGAAAGCACACAUAAUGGAAGCAGCCGCAACCAUUCGAUUACGGGCUUGUAUCUCUGGACGGUCUGGGGCGCUCUCAGCCAAAAUCCAAGGAGUAUAUGCCCCAGUGCAGAGAAUGACCUUAUCAGCAGACAGUUGGGUAUCUUCCAGGGUCGUAAUUCCGGAACAGUUGCCGUUCGAGUCAAAUGCAACUUUUGUAACCGUCGCCUGGAUAUACUUGAUCCCAAUAUCAACGGCAGACUGGAUGACAGCACGCAAGGCAUUGGCGGCGUCACCCCAUCCUGCAAGGGGAUUCCAAGUACACUUGGUGACUCCAGUCCAAUCUCCGUCCUGAAAGAUUCCACCAAAGCGAGCUUUGGCAUCUUCCGGAUCCAAGAGAACAGCGGGAGAGUUACCUUCGCCAAGCACCUUCUCGUAGCUCCUCACAACAGCCUGGCCAGGCGCCUCAAUGCCGAUAAAUAGGAUACCCGUCUUGUGAAAGUAAGGUUUUAACACAGGAUCGGUACGCCACUGCUCCUGUGCUUCUAGAGCGAGACGCAUAUACAUAGGAUCUUCAUAUUCGGCUCUGAUGAUUUUGUUCAGGUCGUGAGCUGCGGCAGAUGGGCAUGGGUAAGGGGUACGGUCGACCAACGUGACAUGUGCGUUGGGUUUCGCUUUCUUGAGCGCAAGGGCCGUGGAAGCACCAAAACAUCCCGCGCCUACAAUUAAAUAACUGGACGUGUCCAUCGUAGCCAUCAAGCGUAAAGUGGGCGGCGGACAGCAAGUUGAGUAGGCGAUGAAGUAAGGUAGUGUCGGUCGUUGUAUCGCUAUGAGGAAACCAAAGUUGAUGGCUAGGACAAUAUUUAUAGUAGGCCAGACCUGGGCGGCAUCUUCCACGAUUCAUAACCCCGCCUGUUGCCGGUUUGUUGUUACCUCAUGCUAGGUUUCGCUGUGUUCUCCCAUUUUGCUUCUGUUGUGCUCUCUUUUCUCUUUUCUCUUUUCUGUAGCUUCCUGUCCUGCAGGUGAUGACGCCACAGAACAGACCCCUCCUUGCGAAGCAAGUCAUCAUUACGCCCUUGGAAGAACCAGGAUAUGGUAUCCAUGCCAUUAUAUGAUUGGAGAAGUGUUUCGCCGCAUGCGGCUAUCACGCAUUUUCGAAAUGGAAGUAUGAUUAUCAGAUCUUGGCAGUUGCUCGGAUAUUUGCAGAAUACUUUGCUUCGGAACUUGACCUUUUUUAACGAUCCAUAUAUCCACCCACAUUUCUCAUGCGUACUUCGUCAUACAUUAACAGUCAGGCAGGGGUCGCGGGAAGGUAGAACGGACGGAGGAAGAGCAUAGGUACACUCUUCCGCAAUUUUAAUCAGGGAUUUUACAAAGACAAGAAACAGACAAAGCAGAAAACAAAAAAGGGCGGUUCAUGCUUGCAAUUUGCAAUCCAUACCAUUACGCAUUUAUGCAGAUAUCAUAUCAUGUUCAUGGCUCAAGCAAUGAUUCAUCCUCAGUUAUCCAAAGCUUCCCAGAUCCCUCCAACAAUCCAGAAAUCAACAGUCGGGGUCAGAGGCAGCCGGCGACCUCUUUCAGAGCUACUCCCCAUCCUAAUCUCCAACCCCCUUCUAGUAAGGGAGUACGUUUUUUAUACAUUGGUGGGAGAGUUGAGCUAACUACACAUUCAGAAAAAGCCAGCAUUCUCAGCCAGAAAAUUACCCUCAAAUAUAGAAAGUAAGAGAAAAGAAUAUUAAUUGUAACAAAAAUGGGUGUCCGUUCUUGUCUAUUCAAAAGGUGCUCUGACCAAGGUGCCAACCUACCCACCUAGGUGUAGACAAGUAUUGGUUGGAAAAACUGAUGUAAAUAUAUGAGAUGCUCCGAAACAGAAGUGUUAAGGAGUUUGGGAAGCCGCGGCAGGGCAGUACCAAGAUAUGACUUCCUUUGAAUGGUGAUAUGCGAGGAUACCUCCACACCAUCUCUUCGCAAACACCAACACCCUAUGAACUUCUACGACA